rnacentral:rRNA from 1 species
UAAAGAGUUCUAUAACUCCCAAACCCAUGUGAACAUACCUAACGUUGCCUCGGCAGGUCGCACCUACCUUGUAGCACCCUACCCUGUAGGGCCUACCCGGGAGGUGCGGGUAAGCCUGCCGGCGGCCCACCAAACUCUGUUUGAUAUUGAAUUCUGAACCUAUAACUAAAUAAGUUAAAACUUUCAACAACGGAUCUCUUGGUUCUGGCAUCGAUGAAGAACGCAGCGAAAUGCGAUAAGUAAUGUGAAUUGCAGAAUUCAGUGAAUCAUCGAAUCUUUGAACGCAUAUUGCGCCCAUUAGUAUUCUAGUGGGCAGGACCGUUCGAGCGUCAUUUCAACCCUUAAGCCUUCGUUGCUUAGUGUUGGGAGCCUACGGUAACGUAGCUCCUCAAAGUUAGUGGCGGAGUUGGUUCACACUCUAGACGUAGUAAUUUUUUAUCUCGCCUAUUAGUUGGACUAAUCCCCUGCCGUAAAACCCCCAAUUUAUCAAGGUUGACCUCGAAUCGGUUCAGACAAACUCGCUAAAUUGAAGCAUCUUAGUCAGCGAAGGAAAAGAAACCAACAGGGAUUGCCCUAGUAACGGCGAGUGAAGCGGCAACAGCUCAAAUUUGAAAUCUGGCCCUCGGGUCCGAGUUGUAAUUUGUAGAGG